UAUUUUUGAGAUAUAAACUUCAAAAUGUGCUAUUAUUGACAAUUGCCCUAAAUUAUUUCUUCAUUUUAAUUUCCUCUUCUUCCACACUUUUGUUUUUAUUUCUUAUAAAUAUUUAUAAUUAUAAGUUUUAAUCAUAAUCUAUAUUUAAUAAAUAUAUAACGCUAAAUAUAUUUAAUCACAUAUUAGUGUAAAUUAAAUGGAAUACUGUUAAAACGAUAUCUAUAAUGUAAUGUAGAGAAUAUAACUUCUGAAAUGCAAAAUUUAACGAGAGAUUUAAAUCAACGUCACCAGCAUUAUAGAUGUUUAGUGUCAAUAAUGUUUGUUAGUUUACCAACUGUUAUUUUUGUAAAUAUCGUCGGUUUUCUCUAUCACCCUAAAUGCUUUAGAUUUUUAGUGUAUGUGUUCUUGGAUCAUCUCUAAUCCACUUCACUUUUAUUAUAAAAUAGUUUAUAGUCAAAUUUGUUUCAGUUCCACUCUAUUUUUACUUCAUAAUAGAGUUAAAAGUGUGUUUAUUUCAUAAAUAGAAUAAUGCAUUUUUGUUUGACGAUUACAUCAUUUUUACUCCAAAAUAGAAUUUCAUUGGAGUAAAACUCAACCUCAUUAUGGAGUUACUCCAUUUUUUUUUAAAAAAAAAUUGAAAUUUUAUAUUGGAAAUUCUAUUUGAACAAUUGUUUUGGAGUGGUACCACCUAGAAUUAUAAUAACUGUAACAAAACUUUAUAUGUUGAUUCUAUAAUUUUACCAUUUAUCUUUUUUAUAUCCAUUUUGUUCUAUAUAUAUUAUGCAACCAUUACGCCAUGAUCCGUCGGGUAUCAUUUCGGAUUGCGACUCGUUCUUUAAAAUAUUUUGUUAUUAGAUGUAUAAAGCUUAUUUUUUUCUUAGAUUGGAGUUGAUUCAGCUCCAUCCAUAUUCAGAUGGAUACAUAUAUGUUGUUUGAGACAUGGCUUUAACCAUGUACCAAUCAAAUAUAUAUAUAUAUAUAUAUAUAUACUAUUUAAAUCAACUAUAUUUUAUCUCAAAAUAAUAAUAAAUUCAAUUUGCUUUAGGUAUUUUACACUUAAACAACCUCAAUAUACCCAAAAUAAUCAAUAAUGUAUAUUAUAAAUUUUAAUUCAGUUAUUAUUAUCCAUUUAUUUUAUCUGAAAUACUCAUAAAUAUAAUUUGGUCAUGAAAAACAAUUUGAUUUGAGCAUUUUGCAUUCAAAUCAUCCAAUUUUAUAUGAAAAUAUUUUUAAAAAACUUAAAAUCACUACAAAAAAAGAGGUGAAUUAAAUCACUUAAAUUGUAUCACAAAAUUUAGUGAUUCUAUUUUAUAUUACUUAUUUACAAAUGAAACAAAUAUGUAAAAUUUAGCAUCAAUUACAAAAAAAUGAUGUUUUAAUUAAAUUAUUUGACAUCAAUUCAACUAAGUGAUAUUUUUUUUUAUUAGUUUGUAUCACUUUAAGCAAACUGAUGUUAUUAUAUAAAUUUAUAUCAGUUGGACAAAUGAUGCAUCUAUUCUCUGGUUUAAAAUCACUUAUCUAAAUGAUAUAAAACUCACAUCAAAAAGAAAAUUGAUGCCAAUAAAAAAUAAAAUAGCAUAAAUUAUAAGCUGACCUUAAUGUCGAAAGUUAAGGUAACUAACUUUUUUCCUUAACAUCAAUUAAAUAAAAAUGAUGUUAUUUUACCUUAGUUUGCAUCAGUUAAUAUUUAGGAAUGAAAAAAUUAGCUUGAAUCUAUAUAACUGCUUCGUAAAAAUAUUAACUUCUCUUCCUCUAAAUCUUAACUAAAAAAAGAUUCCAUCUCCCCAAUAAUAGCUUUUAGUAACUGCAAUUAAAGUCAUAAGCAAUUUAUCUUUCUAUCUGAUUUCUCUAGUUCUUGUUCUUUUCCUAAACACCAUCUCCAUCGCUUCUUCCUCUUCCAUACCACGAAGCUUCUCAUGCGUCUGCCGCUCCUCUGCACUACCCGUCUACUCCAGCCCCUCUUCCUCUGCCACAAUCAAUGCCGAUUCCGAACCCUUCUUUCUAGGCCAUCGGCUUGUAAAGAUUUCCGAAUCCUACACCAGGUAUCAAAUCUGAACAUCACUGUCUAUUUCGGUCUUCUUAUCGAAUUGUAUAUCGCUAUGCAACCAUUUGACCUUGAAAUUGAGUUGCAGGAAGUGAAUGGUUCUAAGCCUGUACUCAGACAGUGCUGCAACUUCUCAGAAUUACUAUGGGUUCUAUAAUUCAAACGUUUAUUGAGGAAUCCACUACUUAAGUGCCAAGGCUACAGAUUAAUUUGAACCGGCUAGGAAAAAAUAUCUUGUUUCAUCAGUUCUUGGUCAAACAGUUCGGAAUCAAUGCUUAGGACUUCGUUCAGUGCCAAUGGUUUUACUAUCCCAGGAUGCCGACCCUGAAGCUACUAUGGUACAAUUCAGUUUUGGAGAUUGUCUCGGGGCUCUCAUUGAUAGAGUGAUUAUCAACCUUAGUUUAGGUGGUAUCUCUUAGCAACAUUUUUUUUUUUGCUUUGUAAAUUUGCAAAAUAAUGUAAUUUACAUUUCAAUACAUUGAUUAUUAAUCUAGUUUGAUUAUUCUGAUUUAAUUAAUUAUUUUACUUGCGUUUUUAAUUGUUUAAAUAAAACAUCUUAAUUUUUUGUUAACAUCAAUUAUGCACAAGUGAUAAAAAGUAUUUAAAUCAGUAAUUUAUAAAUGAUACAAUUAUUAAAGUCACUUAUAAAAACUGAUACUACUUUUACAUCAGUUAUUAAUAAGUAAUGUAAAUAAUUUAAAUCGAUUAUUGUAACUGAUACUAAUUCUAACAUCACUUAAAUAAAUUGAUGUAAAACUUAGCAUCAUUUUUUGUGAGUGACACAUACUCACAUCAGUUGUUAGAAUUGACAUGAAUAUUUUUAUUUUUGCAUCAGUUAUUUAAUAAAUUGAUGUAAAUUAUUUGCAUCACCACUUUCAGAGUCACUUAUUUAAGUGAUGCAAAGUUUAAUUACAUCAUUUAUAACUGAUACAUAUAUUAUAAAUAAAUGAUGUAAAACAUGCUUUUUUUUGUAGUGAAUAACCAUUAGGUUUAUAAUUACAAUUGAACUUUCAAUAUUAUAUUAUUACAAAUGUUAUAACCAUAGUAUUUUUAGAUAUAUGUUUAUAUUUUAGACAUUGGGAUAUUCGUUCAUUUAUUCGAUUUUUCAAAUAUAGUUUAUGAUCCAUUCGAAUACUUAAACCGAAUCCAUUUGAAUGUAGUACCUCUAAAUUUGAGUCGGUUUUGGAUCAAUUCUUCUUAUAUGAAUAAUUUGCUCAGCACUAAUUCUCAGUGCCUAUAAAAAUUGAAAUGGUCAUAACUCAUAGCUUAUAUGCAAAGGUAAAUGAAGAUAACAUCUGAGGCACCAAACCAAUCGCCUUAAAGGGUUCUUCACCUCUUUACCUCUUUUUCCAAUUUUGAAUGUAAGAUGAACAGAGAACGUUCCUUGUUAUACGUGUAGGCAGU